rnacentral:rRNA from 1 species
GCCCGAAGCCGAUUAUCUAACCCUUUGGAAGAAGUCGUCGAAGGUGGAAUCAAUAACUGGGGUGAAGUCGUAACAAGGUAGCCGUAUCGGAAGGUGCGGCUGGAUCACCUCCUUUCUAAGGAGA